AGGGUACUACUGCGAAUGAGGCCACUAGCACAAGUACCAAAAGAUCAAGAAAAAGAAGACAUUUGCAGAACUCAAGGAGGAGGAAAAUCGGCUACUGGAAGAAAGUGUUUAUUUGAAAAAGGAGAUAGCAUCCAUGCUUGCUGCCUGUAAACAACAUAGAGCAAGGAAUGUCAACUUGAAAAGAUUCAAGCUUGAUUCGAAGACGUGGUGUUCAAAUGUUGAUGAAGAGGAGAGAAUAGGCUCUGGUGUUGACUACAGUCCUUCAAGUCUGCCAUCGCAUGCCGUUGAUGAGCGGAAACCGAUACCGGAUUUGUGCAAGGGUAGUUGUAGUGAGGAGGAGAGUCUUUUCUUAUUGCCUGAUCUAAAUAUGAUGGCUUGUGAAGAUGUUUAGAGGUUGGUGGAGAACAGUGACACUAACCAACCCUUUUUAACUCGUAGAGUGUAGAUGGUAGACUUGUUCCCUUAGUUCAGUACUUGUUUUGGGAAUCAAUGGUGAUUCUUUAUAGGUGCCUCACCUGUGUAAGCUUCUUCAAACAAAUUUCAAGAAUCCUUGUUCAUCAA